UACGUAGGGUGCGAGCGUUCAUCGGAAUUCCUGGGCGUAAAGCGUGCGCAGGCGGUGAGCUGUGUCCGAUGUGAAAGCCCCGGGCUUAACCUGGGAAUGGCAUUGGAAACUGGCUCGCUGGAGUGUGGCAGAGGGGGGUGGAAUUCCGCGUGUAGCAGUGAAAUGCGUAGAGAUGCGGAGGAACACCGAUGGCGAAGGCAGCCCCCUGGGCUAACACUGACGCUCAGGCACGAAAGCGUGGGGAGCAAACAGG
rnacentral:rRNA from 1 species